GCCGAACUGGUGGGCCAAGUUCGGUCCGACCUUAUCCCCUGCAAUUUCCCCGCUCUCCCCUCACUCGCCGUGGUAAAACAAUGGCGCUCCAUCUCGCGCGACCGUUCCUGCCCGCCGGCCUCCCGCCGCCGGCGCGCCGCCGCGCUCGUGCCCGGGCGCAUCCCCUCUCCCCCACCGCCGACGCGCGGUCCCCGUCCUUCAGGAGGCCCUACACGUCCGUCCUGGUGGUGCCCACGGGGGUCGGCGCCGCGGUCGGGGGCUUCGCCGGCGACGCCCUCCCCGUGGCACGCGCCCUCGCCGCCGUCGCCGACUGCGUCAUCUCCCAUCCCAACGUGCUCAACGCCGCGAUGCUGUACUGGCCGAUGCAGAAUACGCUUUACGUCGAGGGAUACGCCCUCGACAGGUUCGCCGAAGGCGCCUGGGCUCUUCAGCCAGUCCACCAGAACAAGGUAGGCUUGGUGUUGGACUCCGGGAUCGAGGAGGAGCUCCGGCUCCGCCAUUUGCAGGUCGCCGAUGCGGCGAGGGCUUCGCUCGGCCUCCCUGUUGUGGAGUACGCUGUCACGGAUGCUCCUUUAGAGAUCAAGACCUGGUUCGAUCCGAAGUGUGGGAAAUCAACCGGGAGUGUCGGGAACUCCGAUUCCCUGUUAAGAGCGGUCGACGCGCUAGUGAACCAGGCAGGCGUGAAUGCUGUGGCUGUUGUCGCGCGCUUCCCAGACGACGACCCUGAAGAUUCAGAUUGCUAUAGGGAAGGAAAGGGAGUUGAUCUGUUAGCCGGAGUUGAAGCAAUCAUCAGUCACCUAAUUGUGAAAGAAUUCAAAAUCCCUGCUGCUCACGCUCCUGCGGUGUUGCCCCUGCCACUCAGCCCAUCAGUGUCCCCACGAUCUGCUGCUGAAGAGAUUGGUUAUACCUUUCUACCAUGUGUGCUCGCUGGUUUAAGCACCGCUCCUCAGUAUGUGACGAGGAGGCAGGGUACCUUGGACAGUGGUUGCAUAGUGGCUAGUGAUGUUGAUAGUGUGAUUCUUCCAAGAGAUGCCUGUGGAGGUGAUGGUGCUCUUGCCUUUUCUCGAACUGCAAGAAAGAACAAGCCCUUAAUCAUUACCGUUCAGGAAAAUGAGACGGUGCUCGAUGACACCCCUGAUAAAUUCAAUAUUGAAGCGCUGAAUGUCCAGAACUACUGGGAAGCAAUUGGAGUUAUUGCUGCUCACAAGGCAGGCAUCAAUCCAAAUGCUCUCAGAAAACAAGGAAUUGACCAUCUUAAGAGCCAUCGACGAUUGUACUCUGCCCGAUCUUCUGGUCCUAGGCCAUACGCCUCUUCUGCAACGCAGGAUAAAGUAUAUGUACACCAGUUAGUUUGACAAUUUAGUACAGAAGAAAUCAGUUUUAGCAAGUAGGAGGCUGCAAAUUUUGAAGUCCCAGGUACAUAUUCCACAACAGUAGGAGCAUACAUAUGUAACUUUAUUUCGUUGUCACCCCAUGAGGAAUUACAUUGAUAUGGAUACGUGUCUGCAGUGUCAUUGUGAUCAUGGAUGUUGUACUCAGAAGCCAUUCUUCGGAUCAAUUAAUUUCUUCAGUUGCUAGACAGGGGCAGUGCUAUGCUCCCUGUCCACCACACAAGUGUCAUGCUGAUUGCUUUUUGACGGGCAAUGGGCAGGAGCUCUGCCAAUUCAUUAUAGAAGAAGGGAGAAGGACCAAAAUCCCACAGUUUGGUACAGACAGUGCCAAGACCACAUAGUGGCAAAGCGAAGCAGCUAGUUAAGAUACAGCCUCCCAGAACAAAGCUAUCUCAUCUCUCGCCAUGGCUGUAAUCGUCUCAGGCGAACACCUUUUCUCCUCAAACGUUCGGCGGUUACGUUCCUUCCAGAGAUUCCACACCACGUAGGCCGCCGUGGUUACCUGCUUGCGCGAGUCCUGAAGCUUUCCCAGCCCAAGCGUUUUCCACCACCAAUCCUUGAUGGUAGCAGAAGAUGAAGGAAUGAUGGCCGCCUUGCCGUCCGAGUUCUGAAACCCAUGCCAAACCUCCCGGGCGAAGACGCAGUCCAAAGAUGUAUGAGUCGUCAUGCUGAUUGCUGAGGUCAUUUAUGUCUUGAUGUGUCAUUCUGCGCUCUCAAAUCGUCGACUCUCUGUUGUUGCUGUCUGCAUCUACUCAGAAUACACAUGUUUGUCAGAGUGGGUAGUUGCUGCUUUUGCUUGCUUGUUCCAACUACCAAUCAAACUGCACCUUCAACUUAGAUGAGAUGCAGCUUAUGACUUGCUGUUUGUGUGUGUUAGUGUACUAGAUGCCUGUUUGUUUAUGCUAGCUUGCUGUUGAAGUACAUAUUUACCUGAUUUGCACUUCACAUGCAGAUUCUGUGCCUUUAAAUAGGUAAGAUCUUUUUUCAGCAAUAGUUUCUUUUUCUCACUAGCAUAGUUUAUGCUUUUCAGUGG
rnacentral:rRNA from 1 species